rnacentral:rRNA from 1 species
GACGAACGCUGGCGGCGUGCCUAAUACAUGCAAGUCGUACGGACAGGCGAUUAGCUGGCUUCUCUGAUGUUAGCGGCGGACGGAUGAGUAACACAUCGAUACCCUACCUUUGGGACUGGGAUAGCUUCGGGAAACCAGAACUAAUACCGGAUAAUAUUUUGAAGCGCGGGGUUCAAAAGUUAAGGACGGUCUUGCUGUCACUUAGGGAUGGAUCCGCGCUGCAUUAGCUUGUUCGUAGGGUAACGGCUUACCAAGGCAGCGAUGCGUAGCCGACCUGGGAGGGUGACCGGCCACAUGGAGACUGAGAUACGGCCCAGACGCCGACGGGAGGCAGCAGUGGGGAAUAUUGCACAAUGGGCGCAAGCCUGAUGCAGCAACGCCGCGUGCGGGAUGACGGCCUUCGGGUUGGAAACCGCUUUCAGCAGGGACGAAGCUUUUUGUGACGGUACCUGCAGAAGAAGCACCGGCUAACUACGUG